GUAGGUGGCAAGCGUUGUCCGGAAUUAUUGGGCGUAAAGCGCGCGCAGGCGGUUCUUUAAGUCUGAUGUGAAAGCCCACGGCUCAACCGUGGAGGGUCAUUGGAAACUGGAGAACUUGAGUACAGAAGAGGAAAGCGGAAUUCCACGUGUAGCGGUGAAAUGCGUAGAGAUGUGGAGGAACACCAGUGGCGAAGGCGGCUUUUCUGGUCUGUAACUGACGCUGAGGCGCGAAAGCGUGGGGAGCAAACAGGGAUUAGAUACCCUGGUAGUCCACGCCGUAAACGAUGAGUGCUAAGUGUUAGGGGGUUUCCGCCCCCUUAGUGCUGAGCUAACGCAUUAAGCACUCCGCCUGGGGAGUACGCCGCAAGGCUG
rnacentral:rRNA from 1 species